UCGUCAAAGCAAGAGGAGGAACCGCUCUCAACUAACUGAAGCUGAAAAUUAAAUGCGAACGGUGUGAUUUCCUUUUGAAAUAUCAAUCUUCGCCACAUCACCUUAUCCAGAAUGAUCGAGGAAGUAUCAGGAUCCAAACUGAUCCUCCCAAAAACAUCUGCGGUCCAAGAUCGAAAUGGGCAUCUGCCCACUUAUGAAGAAGCCAAGAGUCGCAGCUGUUCUGCCGAGAGCGACCGAAGCAACCUGAGUUUCAGGAGUGCCAGCGACAGUGACACCUGUCAUCGCAGCUGCUGCAGGGACGAAAAGGCUCCCAAUCACACCACAAGCAACACCAAGAGUAAAAAGACGAACAAGAAAUCCUUCAGGAAACAGGAAACAAUUGACAGCGAUUUCGUGACAUACUUUAUCUGCCGUCGACCAUGAGAACGAAUCACUAACUAUUACCUGUUUGUCUCUCAUUUCUGUCUCCGUGAAUCAUUUUCAGCUUAAAUAUUAGUAUGUUACAAUGUAUUAUUGCCUAAGGAUGCAGCAAUUCUUGUGUAAUGUGAGUUAUUUAUUAUAUUUACUUAUAUACUUUUUUUACAUAAAUAAAGACAUAAUAGAAUCA